rnacentral:rRNA from 1 species
UCGGGAAUUUUGGGCAAUGGGCGAAAGCCUGACCCAGCAACGCCGCGUGAAGGAUGAAGUAUUUCGGUAUGUAAACUUCGAAAGAAUAGGAAGAAUAAAUGACAGUACUAUUUAUAAGGUCCGGCUAACUACGUGCCAGCAGCCGCGGUAAUACGUAGGGACCAAGCGUUGUUCGGAUUUACUGGGCGUAAAGGGCGCGUAGGCGGCUCUGUAAGUCACUUGUGAAAUCUCUGAGCUUAACUCAGAACGGCCAAGUGAUACUGCAGAGCUAGAGUGUAGAAGGGGCAAUCGGAAUUCUUGGUGUAGCGGUGAAAUGCGUAGAUAUCGGGAGGAACACCUGUGGCGAAGGCGGCCACCUGGUUGGAUACUGACGCUGAGACGCGAAAGCGUGGGGAGCAAACAGGAUUAGAUACCCCAGUAGUCCCUGAGCGGGCUGGCAAGGCGCAU